CCGCUCAAGCUGGACCCAACAAUCUAUACUUUAUUCAAGUUCGAAGCCUAGCCUAAGCUCAAAUCUCUGCUCGUCGCUCGACCGCUCGCCACCUGCCGCGCGCCGGUCGCCGGUCGCCGGUCGCCUCUUGCCGCUCGCCUCUACCUGCAAUGCUCCACCUCGAUCAGGCUGCACUCGCACUUCUAGGACCCAAGGCCAACAACUUCCUCUCCCCCAGCCGGAACCUUUUCACUUCCUUCCCAUUUCUACCCGUAUCGCCCUCUCCCUUAUCCACCUUCUCCUCGCUUGCUAUCGCCGCCGAUCACGUUUUCCUCGGUAGCAAUUUACUCAGCGACUCGCUGACGAUGCCGGAUGGGUGUCUGUUUCUUCCGCUCAGCCAUGAAGGCGUUUGCUACAGAUUGACAACAAAUUUGGAUUUAUGAGGCCGGCGGAGGCGCUUUAUUUCCACUCAAAUUAGAUGACGCGCUCGAUUUGCUGCAUUCUGAAGCUGAGUGCGGCUUAUUUCAAGAUCUAAUCGAAAGGCUUCCGUGUAAAGAACCAGCUCAUGUUUCCGGCGGCGCAAAGUUGGAUCAUGCCAUAACAGAAAGGGUUAAGUUUGCAUGGAAUCUAUAUAAAUAUAUUGUUAGUUCCAUUUGAAAUCCAGUUAUUUUGAUCUGGCAGAAAAGAUAAAGAUUUCUUUUGGGGGGGAAAGUGAGAUCAGUAGCUGAAAUUCCAUUGAAUGCAACGUGAUUACCGAACUAUGAAGAAAAAGCUAGCUAAAGAUAGCAAAAUAUCUUCAGGCCGGAAAUUAAGCCAAAAUUGAGGCAAUGAGCUGCUGAGGACUCAUGUGAACAGGAUUAUCAAAAAUCACCCAAAAAAAAAAGUACUUCGACCAACAGCUGGUGCUGAAGCCAUCCAGGGAGGGAAGUGCCUCUUUUUCAAGGAAAAAUUAUUCUGUGCGGAAUCCAGACCCCAAAGAAAAUACAUCAUGUCCGGUACCGAACUUAGUACAGAGCGGUAUGGAGGCUAAGUACCGCUCGGUACUUAAGCGUAAAUCGAACGGUUCUCCCGUCCAAUAUCCGCACAGAAUAAUCUCUCCUUUAUCAACCAGCAGACUAAAAACUGGAAGUUUUUAUUAUUCCCUUCCCUCUAGAUAUAGUAAAUGAGGCAACAUAUUGAGCGAGAAAUAGUUUUCGAGCAGGUAUGUGGCCUACAUUAUUAUAAGGGAAUGCAUUAUUAUAAUGUGAGCAAAUUAAAAGCAAUAUGGAGAACAGGGAUACACUGGAGCCUCCAUUAAUUUUGGGGGUGCAUUUUUUGUCUCAAGUUUACUUAUAUUUGUGCUCCCAUGAAAAAAAAAACCAUAGCACUAUAAAGAUUAUGAUUUUAAUACAAGCUUACUGAAGGGUAAGUUAUCUAGGAUAGUAAGCAAUUAAGUUACAAGUGGAGAAUUUCAAUAGUUGUUUGCAACCUGUUGAAGGAGUAAUUAUUGUGUCCGGACACCGAAUGCAUCCAGAGAUCAAUAACAAAACGUCAUGUCACUCAAGUGCUCGGUACCGCACUCGGUACUGCACUCGGUACACUAGGUAUGCUCGGUAUCGCAAACGGUACUGUGCUCGGUACACUAGGUAUGCUCGGUACCGCACUUGGUACUGCGCUCGGUAUAUUAGGUAUGCUCGGUAUUUUGUCCGGAUGUAAUAAUUUUUCCUCUGUUGAAGAGAGCUAUUUGC